CUGCCCAAAGCUGAGCCUUCUCCUUCACACGCAAAACUCAGCUUUUCCUCUUUCCUUGUUCACGUCAGAGUUGGACAGAGAGAAAGGGAGCCUCGUUCAGCUCUUCCCCUCCACGUUUCCAUCAUGCAAAGGGCAACUCCUCCAAGAACAUCUCCUCAGACCUUCAAAAGAGAGAACCCAGGCCAUAAAUCGUCACUCACCCUUCUCUCCUCACCUUUCCUCUCGUCCCUGGACACAUCAGUCCGUUUACGAGCCUCGAAACACCUAGUUCGAGAUCUCUGAUCAGAAAACGUUCUUCAUCAAAGUUGUUCGCCUAUGUCUCCUCUAUCUAGCCUCCAAAUUUCAGCUCCAUCGGAAUUGAUUUGAGACCUGUACACCCCUCGAAGCGGAAGCUGUUCCGGAGCAAGCCUGUUCCGGAUUUCUGCUUAAACUUCCUCUCUUGCUCUACCCGAAUCCCCAACACCUUGCUUGAGACUGAUACCAACAGUUGUCUCUGUUUCACUUUGCAUGUUCGAGACUGAGCAAACUUCUUGGCCUGUGGCUGGACUCGAUCCAAUCAGCUCCUUCAGCUCUCUUUCCUGUUGAAAUCCUCAAGAGAAGCUCAUCUUUUUUUGUUAGUUUUUGGCUUGACAUCGUGGUGGAAUCUUGUGAAGUGGUGGUUGCUACAAGGUUGCAUUGAGGCCAAGUGCUGCAAGAGAAAGCUCGAGUUCCAGGAGAGGUCAGUUCCUCCUUGAGCCACCGGUGGUGGGCAGUGUGCACCAUGCCCUUGUUAUCUCCCCUUUGUCUCUAGCCUUGUGAUUAAUGAAUUCCGGAAAGUGAUUGGCUAGAUGGACGGUUGUGAUGGAAGUGUGAAAGAUGAUCAAUUGCCGUGGGAUUGUAGUUACGUGGUGACGAUCACGUGGAAGCGCAAACCGGUUUUAUCUACUUCUUUUAUUCAAAACAAUAACUCAUGUUUUUAAACUUAGAUAUGGGGGCGGGCAUGGGCAAUGACUGGAUGUAGGAGCCUAACCCCUACUUUAGUUUGUUUUGCAGGCUGUUGUUGUUGAAGCUUGGGCACGGAGGAUAAUCCUUGGAGGACACAAUUUGUUUUACUCUAUUUAAAGUUUAUUUCCUUUCGGCUUGCUUGAUUUCACUAAAGUUUUGUAACA